ACAUUUGGAGACAUUUCAUUGAAGAAUAUAACAAAAACAUUAAAUAUUAUGAUUAUAAAUAUUAAAAUAAAUAUUUGUUGGGCAUCAACUACGUAUCAGGUACUACAAGAGAUGUAAUGUGGUCCCCUCAGCACAGAAUCUCACAGUCCAGAGGAAAGAUGAGAGAAGUUCCACAUCAAAGACAGUACAAGGCAAUGUGUAUCUUUCCCAUUCUGCCUGAGAUCAUAGCUAUUUGGUGUUUGUUUUUCCUAUGAACUUUAAGCUUUUAGAGAGAGAGGAUCAGACAAUACUUAACAAAGGCCUUCUAGACAGAAGAGCCUCAGGAGAGAGGAGUAAUCGUUCAGCUCUUCUUGGUUUCUGGCUUCCCUCCUGCUCUUCCAGGUGUCAAAAGAAGAAUUUACAGUGAAAAAUAAGAAACUUAGUGUCAUUGCGCAUCACUUAGAAAAUGUGAAUUUAUUUAAAAUAUGUGAUGGAUUGUGCAGCAUGCUUACAUUUGAAAAUGGAGAUUGUGCCUUUAAAUACUUAAUCAAAGGACUCCUGACCUUCAAGUACCAGUUUGGGCAUAUUACUGGAGAUCCAGGUUGAAAGUCUGUUGGCAGAGAAAGUAUGACUCUGCUUUUAGCCUUCUGCACAAGACAAAAUCCUUCUGGUGAUCCUCAAUCUUUCCACUCAGAGGAUUCUUAUUUGUCUUGAAUGUGGAAAAGGCAUCUGGUUCAGAAAAAAAGUUGAUUACAGUUGAUCCUCAUUAUUUGUGGGUGCUAUAUUUGCAAACUUGCCUACUCACUAAAGUUUGUACCCCCAAAUCAAUGUGUGGCACUUCCGAGGUCAUUCAUAAACAUGCACAGAGGAGCAAAAAAUUGGAGUCACCCCACGGGCAUGUUCCCAGG
rnacentral:sRNA from 1 species